CUCGUUACAUUGAAGACCUGUUGGUGAUCUUCUGCUGUUGUCUGCUCUGUGGUCGGGUUGUUGUCUCUUUGGCACAUUCCCCUUUUCUAUUCUCAACUGUAAUGUUCAAAUGAAAUACCAUAAAUAGUUGAAGAUAACAAAUCAAGGUCACAAUACGUAAUGAUUAUCCAACGUUUUCACCUGGCAAACAACAUAUCAUCAGAUUCCUAUGUUCAAAGACUCAUAACUCCUAGAAGAGUCGUCUAGUCCAAAACUUAUUUCAGGACAUUCACAUUUACAAACUACUUAAUAUCUGCAAGUCUCGUGAAACUCUUGUGUGUCGUUUCCGAUGAAUGGCGAUGAUUAGCUGUUACAGUAGUAUGUUUAGGCCAAUCAAUAUAUGGGCAUAACUCAUAAAUGAAAAUAAUGAAACAGAUAUGAUCAUCUAAAAUGUAUUUCAUAAUUAACUACAAGGUUGCAUGACAAUCUAGUGGGAGAGAGAAGUUUUGGUGACAGUAACAGAACUGACGGAC
rnacentral:lncRNA from 1 species